CCAGCCUGGGGUGAGCGGAGGGUCACAGCUGGGGAGGAGGGGUUUGCACUGAGGGUGUUUGUUAGCAUGGGGGGGUGUUAUUGUAGGGUCGCAUUGCGAGUCCGGGCUGGGCAGACUGGACAGCGUAGGGUCCCUUGGGGCGGGGUGUUAUUGUAGGGCCUCAUUGCGGUAAGAGGCUGGGCUCGGCAGAGUGGGCAGCGUAGGGUCCCUCGGGAGAACGCUGGGCGUUAUUGUAGGGUCUCAUUGUGGUAAGAGGCCGGGCUGCGCAGAGUGGGCAGCGUAGGGUCCCUCGGGGUGGGGUGUUAUUGUAGGGUCUCAUUGCGGUCAGAGGCCGGGCUGGGCAGAGUGGGCAGCGUAGGGUCCCUCGGGGUGGGGUGUUAUUGUAGGGUCUCAUUGCGGUCAGAGGCCGGGCUGCGCAGAGUGGGCAGCGUAGGGUCCCGGGGAUGGGGGGGCUGUUAUUGUAGGGUCUCAGGAGUGGGGAUGGGAUGCUGGGACUCCAGCAUCACGGGUGGCUUGUGUACCGCCCCCCCCAGCCGGCCC